rnacentral:rRNA from 1 species
GACGAACGCUGGCGGCGUGCCUAAUACAUGCAAGUAGAACGCUGAAGGAGGAGCUUGCUUCUCUGGAUGAGUUGCGAACGGGUGAGUAACGCGUAGGUAACCUGCCUGGUAGCGGGGGAUAACUAUUGGAAACGAUAGCUAAUACCGCAUAACAGUAGAUGUUGCAUGACAUUUGCUUAAAAGGUGCAAUUGCAUCACUACCAGAUGGACCUGCGUUGUAUUAGCUAGUUGGUGGGGUAACGGCUCACCAAGGCGACGAUACAUAGCCGACCUGAGAGGGUGAUCGGCCACACUGGGACUGAGACACGGCCCAGACUCCUACGGGAGGCAGCAGUAGGGAAUCUUCGGCAAUGGACGGAAGUCUGACCGAGCAACGCCGCGUGAGUGAAGAAGGUUUUCGGAUCGUAAAGCUCUGUUGUAAGAGAAGAACAGGUGUGAGAGUGGAAAGUUC